CUUACCAGGUCCAGACAUAGUUAGGAUUGACAGAUUGAGAGCUCUUUUCUUGAUUCUAUGGGUGGUGGUGCAUGGCCGUUCUUAGUUGGUGGAGUGAUCUGUCUGGUUAAUUCCGAUAACGAACGAGACCUCAACCUGCUAAAAUAGUUAUCGGGAUGGUUUCGCAUGGGCGAAGCGUUGGGGACGGGAAGGUUGGGGCCGGUCGGGAAACCGGUCGGUUCUGGCCUUUCGCUCGGCGUGGAUCCCGAACGCAUCCCGAUGCGGUGGAGGCGGCGCGGUGCAAGCCGUGCCGUCGACCCAUCGUGCGUCGCUCGCGAUCGUAACUUCUUAGAGGGACUGUUUGGGUUAUACCAAACGGAAGUUUGAGGCAAUAACAGGUCUGUGAUGCCCUUAGAUGUCCGAGGCUGCACGCGCGCUACACUGGAGAGUUCAGAAUGUUUCUUCCUACUUCGACAGAAGUGGGUAACCAUGAAAUUCUCUUCGUGACUGGGAUCGGAGCUUGCAAUUA
rnacentral:rRNA from 1 species